AGGAUAAAAGGGUUGGACCGGAUGCUGCAGGCCCUCCCGUUGCUAACAUUGCAGGAAUCAUGACUGUUUACGAACUCUUCAACAGUGAACCUUCCAGCAAUAAAAUAAUGCAGUCGGGCAAACGUAUGACAUGUGAAACAAGGCCAUUGUCUUGCUGUUUGUUUGACAUACUUCAUUCUUCAAAAUGAACAUUUGACUCUAAAUGCUUUUGAUAUGGCUAAGCCAUAUCUUUAGCCAAGCCUACCAGAUAACCCGGGUUGCUAUUUUGUGAAUUUUGUGCCAUUAUUUCCCUCCUGAGACCAUGGUGGACACUGUGAAUGGACCACAGGGCUCUCAUCACCUAAAUUGGAAUCUCCAAGGCAUCUCAAGACAGCUUUCCAAGCAGCUCCACGGGUUGACCAGAAGUGGUAAAAGAAUGAAGCAUACUUGCCCUCCCUGAACUAGAAAGUUUCAGUACUAGCUUGCAUUGAGCUCCUCGAUGGAAUUCAUUCAUGCACUCACUAAUUCACUCAGAAAAUAUUCACUAAGUGCCUUUUCUAGGUGCUGAGGACACAGCGGUGAAGAAACCAGGGACUGUGUUUGUGGAGCUUAUAUGAACAAGGAAACAAGCAACUGACUUCGGGAUCCCCUGAAAGGGUUUGCUGGUUCACCACCGUGUCUUCACUCGUGAUUCAUCUCUUCUGAGCACAGUGUUCCUCACCCCAUCAUCUACUCAUCAUUUAAGACAAAGAUCGAAUGUCACCUCAUCCGUGUAAUCUUUUCUGAUCACCGCCUCCAGACAGAAUGGACCAUUCCCUCCUGUGGGUCCUCAGUGUGCCCUGGACAAACUUCUAGCAUAAGCCCUUUAUCACUUAAGGGCACUUCCUAGUUUCCCUGUUUACACGCAAGCCUCUUUUGCUCAUAUUUAUUUCCUACCACUUAGCAUAGAUCUUGGAAUACUUCAUUGUAUAAAGAGAAUGAGUUUCCCUGCAUAUUUAGAUUACACAUGAUAGUUCUGCCAAAGUAGUAAGAGACCAGAUGCAUGGAACAUUCUUACUGAAUGUUAAUGGAAGUGUCAGAUGAGACUUACAGGGGUCUACCUGGCUUUGAGCUAUUAGUGUCCCCACCAUCAGCUGCAUCGCCACGUUGACUGGUGAUGGAACCAACUGGGAAAGAGUUUGUUUGAGCAGGUGCAAAUAUCUAGGGGGUGCGGGCUGUUUUGAAACCUGUUUCCUUGUCAGACACCUCUCGGCAUACACCUCUCGGCAUACUGCCGUGGCCACAUCAUCGGACACAUCUGUCGUGCUUGCUCAGUAACAGGUGGCAUGAGGGACCCAUUAGCUGGUGGGUGCAGAGCUGUUGGAGACUGAGCUCUUCGCUUUAUACCUCCCUGCUACAUGGCCAGCACUGUGGAGUGCAGGCUGGGGAGAAUAAAGAAGCAAACAACUUGUCUAUAUUUGGGGAGGGGAGAGCAUGAUUAUAUCUAUAGAAGAUAUUAAUUGAUAUUUGUCAAGUGGUGCAUUAAUACAUGAGAUGUAACUAGAAAAAAGUAGAGGACUGUACCAUCAAGAGCUGGGUGACGUGUUACAGGUGGUCCCCACUGUGGAUUUUUUCCACGGUCUCUUGACCUUGAUGUUGAAGGCCAAUGUGUGGCUUCUACCGGCUUGUCUGCUUCUCAUGGGCUGGGCCACACGCAGAGGAACGUAAAGAGAAUCCAGAAAUGCCUCUGCCAAGAGCUCCGAGGAGCUUCUCUGCUGCUUAUUCCAAGCGCCUGCCGUGUACUAAGGAACACAUUUGGAACGAGUGCCUGCCCUGCCUCUCCAUCUCGGAAGAAGGUGAUUCAAAACCGACCUGGGGGAGUGAAGGGCUGGCAGGUUUGCGGAGCCCUGGAAAAUUCUAUGGGACGAUUGUGGUCUGAGCCCGCUGCCGUCCAGGGUCCAAAGAACUGCGGUCGCCAAUUACUUUUUUAUGAGCUCUCAUUGGAAAAAGUCAUAAUUGGACACCAAAGGCAAAUGUGCUCCUGGUGAAGAAGACCGAUGGUAGUAAAUUCUCCUGCUCUCCAGACAGCUCCAGCUGCAGGAGCGGCUGUGCCAAGAAGACAUGGUUGCCUGAGCCAGGAUCACAAGUGGCCGUCCUUAGGAGAGAGCAGCUGGCUGGGGCUCAGAUGAGAUGUAAUCAUGACCAAUUUCUGAAGAAAGAUUUGAAAACUUCAACUACAAAUUAUGACAGCCCAUCCUUCCAUAAACCCUGAUUGUGGGGACUUCACUGUGAGCAGCCGGCCAUAUGCAGCUUCUCGGUGAAGCGAAAGUCAAUGUAUCUCCUCGCUUAAUGGUACAAAGUUUCAGUUGACUUUUAAUUUUUUUUUUUUUUUAGCCUUCCAUACAUUUACUUCUUGACUUAUCAGUCGAAUUUGAUACAUAUGGUGUCUGCAGAGCAAGGGCCCAUGCAGUUCACUGCAUCUAAAAAGCUGAUGUAAAUAUCUAUUGCUUGACUGACAUACCGAGUUUUAGCUUUUUAGAUCACAGCGAGACAUGCCUUCGUAUUGAUUAAAUAUCACCUACCAUUGAGUCCGUAUUCACAGAGCUCCAUUGCACACUAGAAGCCCUUUAUAGCUACUGUUGGCUAGCUUUUAACCUCUGAACCUCUUAAGACGGAGUUUUUUGUAGUCCCAUUUGCUUGAUCACAAUCUUCUUUAAUUUUUAUUUUUCACCGAGGUAGAACUUGCAUCCUGGAGGGGGGGAGGGGAUUGCAGUCUCUCUCUCUCCUCUGUGGGUAAGAACUGGCGCAAUGUGUCAAACCUAUCGUGCGCCCAAUGCAGCACCCUGUCUCCAAGCAGGUUCCAAAGGAAGUGUGGGCAAGGGCACGCGGUGUUCCAAAUCUGUCCUCUGAGCAUCAGCUGUAAACACACUCACUCUGGAAAGAAGAACCUAAAGCUUGGUUUUAAAAAGUAAACCAAAAAUGUUAAUAGCAUUCAAUGUUAAUAAAAUGUGUGACCACGUCCCGAUGAGCUCAUCUGUUUUUUGAUUAGCUGCUUAUAUUAACCACAUCACCCUGUGUAACUUGGGUCUCUG